ensembl:lincRNA
ACAAGCUUACGUUUUCUCUUGUUAUUGAGAAGCUGGAGAGUGAGAGAGACCUGUAAACAUUGGACAUCUCUUCCACAAGACACCAAGAGGGGGCGCCCUUGUCCCCUCCUCGCAGGGCAGCUGGAGAUCCCCGUGCCGUGAGGAGGCGCCGCACAGACGUGAUGACAUCCGCCCGGUAUUCCUGGACCGUGAGCGCCGUCAUCUCACAAAACAGAGGACAGCAGAGCCAACGCGCUAUACUAUAUGUAUAUAUACUAUACUAUAUGCUAUAUGUACUGUAAUAUUGCUGCCAGCUAGAAAAGGCGUUCGCCAUACUGCGAGGUGUAAGAAAAAAAACCGUUUUCCCAAAGCCGCAGUUGAGAGCGGGAGAUUGAGUGAGCACGGAACUGCUGCAAAGCUAAGCAGUGAAUUUGACUUCUUGUAUCUGGGCGUCGACGCAAGAGCAAUAGAGGUGUCAUUCUUUUAUUCCCACAGCGAUUAACCCGCUCUGUUUGGACAAGUGACUGUCUAUUUCACUGUACCUUUAUUUUCUUUCUUUCCGCCGGGACAGCCGAGCACAGCGGGGGGGGGUGUGUCCCGGCGCAGCCCCGCCCCUCCUCUCACGCACGCGCCCCAACAAUGGGACCCCGUUGCCAAGGCGACCGCUGUCCAGCUCCGCCGCAGACGCGAGGUGAGUCCGCUCUCCGCGUGCCGACUGACCACCCGCCCGAACCCGCCGGCCAGGGCAGAGCCCGCGUCCCGGGUCCGAAACGCGGCAGCCUGCUCGGACCCGCAGCGGGGCGCUCGGCUUUCAGACGUGAUUAAAAUCUCCAAAAAAGUUUUGUUUUUUUUUUAAAGUUUCUAGCGAUUCUCUCUCUCUCGUUCCUGUUCCGUGCGCAGCAGGACGGCAUCUUCGCAGAUUGCUCCGCAGGGGCAGAGCAGAGGAACCGGACAUGCGACUCCCUGGGGUGUCGCUGCCCAGCACGCCGGUGUCCGCCGGGAUGGCCCGAGCGGCGGCCCCCGCCCGGAGGAGGUACCUGGUCACCCCGCUGGCGCUGCCCGCCGUGAGCCCGGCCGCCGUCCCGCUGUCCGUGAGCCAGUGCCCCACCCGCAUCAACCCCCUGCACCCCCCCUCGGGCAGGAGGCGCACCGUCAGCCUGGAGACGCUGGCAGCGCACCACCACAACCAGCAGAGGGUGCUGGUGAUGCAGCAGAAAGAGUACUUCAGGUUUCACCAGGCUUGGCAGAGGCCGUUCUACGGCUGCCGCGCAGACAAGGAGGAGUACAGGCAGGAAGUGCGCGAGCUGCUGCAGAGGCAGAUGCUGGAGAAGUGGGAGAGGCAGAGGCAGCUGCUGGCCAGCCAGACGCGCGAGCUCGAGGCGCUGCGCGAGGCGGACCGCCUGGCCCUGACCCGCGAGACGCAGGAGAACCAGAACCGAGCCCGAGCACUGAGCCACUACAGGGAUGAGAACAAGAGGAUGAUGGAGCAGGGCUGGAGGGAGCGUGCUCUGUCCCGUUCUCUGGAGGUGCUGAGAGACAGAGAGCUGCUGCAGUACAACCCCAUCAACUGGAGUGGCACGCUCAAAUAGACACUGGAGCAACACAGGCCAGUCCAAUAGAUACCGGAGCAACACAGGCCAGUCCAACAGAUACCGGAGCAACACAGGCCAGUCCAACAGACACCAGAGCAACACAGCCCAGUCCAGUAGAUACCGGAGCAACACAGCCCAGUCCAACAGAUACCGGAGCAACACAGCCCAGUCCAACAGACAUCAGGGCAACACAGGCCAGUCCAGUAGAUACAGGAGCAACACAGGCCAGUCCAAUAGAUUUGUUUCCAUAACUUUUUAUUUCUUUAUUUGGUUUGUAUGUAUUAAGACCUGUUUAAAUAAAAAUUAAAAAAACAUCAGAAACUCCAAAGGACGUUUUAAAUAAAUAUUUGUAAAGAAGUGCAAAUCCUGAUUUUCCAGACGCCUCCAAUAGACCACGGUGUGGGUUCCCAGCAGUGGAGGGCAGCCGACAGCAGGGGAGGGGGGGCUCAGCUCACUCCUGGCCACAGGACGAGCAAGAGACUGGGCAGCAUAGAUCCGUGUCCCCUUGUGGGUGAGCAGCGGGCCACAGGCACUGGGAAGCCGUCAGGAGGCUCAAGGGCUGCCCACCACUGGCCUGGAGAAGCGCAGGUCGUUCGGUCCCGUCAGCGCAGACAGUGUGGUGUGGAAACAUGAGACGUCCACACGGGCGCGAGAGCGCAGCUGGCAGGGACACAGCGACCGCCCUGUCCUCCCCUCAUGGGGACACCCAGGGCACCGGCCCCACAGGGGGCCCUUCUUAACUGACCAGGGAAGAUCAGAACCAGACGAGGAAACAACAGAUAAAAAAAAUGGCAGGAUGUGUUUCUCUCUGCCCCUCCUUCAGUUCGAACCCUGGGCUGUUUUCUUUCUUACUGCCUAGACCGGGCCUGGGUUCUGGUGCCAGAGUGUUU